CUGAAGAAUAUUUUUAUCAUAGGCUCCACUGCCUUUGUUAACAAAUAAUAUUCUUCAAAUUAUUACAGGAUGUGAUUGUUCGGACGGGGGACAUACUUUCUCAAGUUUCACAAACACAUGAUGUGAUCAUGAAAACUUUGCUGAUAAUGUUUCACUAAGCCAUCAAAUAUCAGAAGUCUGGGCUGAUGCUUCUUCACAUCGUCUAGAGGCUUGAGGAGUUAUGAACACCCCCUUAAUGAGGUGAAUCCUGUGCCAAGGGUGGACAGUUCUGGUCAGGUGUGUGGUGUAACUUUUACCGUGGAUGAAGAGUCGAAGAGGGAAACUGUCGGCAUGCCAAGAGUUGGAAGUGCUACCAACUGGUUAUCUAACUACUGAUAUUGUUAUAGUUUCCUUUUAUGGCAUGGCUGUCAUUAUUAGUGGGCCCUGCCUUUGAUCUCCUUUUUGUUAUCAUACUACUCUCAUCUUGAAUGGCUUGAAAGCAUUUUAAUGGAUGCUUAGAUUUAUAUCCUUUUUAGUACUACCAAAACUAAGACAUGAUUUUAUGCUGCUGUACAUGUUGCGUAAUGUCAAACUAAGCCAGGAUCUCAAGUUUGAUACAAGAAAUAAUAUGAUUGCUCUUCAAGACUGA